rnacentral:rRNA from 1 species
GACGAACGCUGGCGGCGUGCUUAACACAUGCAAGUCGAGCGGUAAGGCCCUUUCGGGGGUACACGAGCGGCGAACGGGUGAGUAACACGUGGGUGACCUGCCUUUAGCUCUGGGAUAAGCCUGGGAAACUGGGUCUAAUACCGGAUACGACUCCGCGGUGCAUGCUGUGGGGUGGAAAGCCUUGUGCGGCUGGAGAUGGGCCCGCGGCCUAUCAGCUUGUUGGUGGGGUGAUGGCCUACCAAGGCGACGACGGGUAGCCGGCCUGAGAGGGCGACCGGCCACACUGGGACUGAGACACGGCCCAGACUCCUACGGGAGGCAGCAGUGGGGAACCUUGCGCAAUGGGCGAAAGCCUGACGCAGCGACGCCGCGUGAGGGAUGACGGCCUCGGUU